GUAAGGGCCUGAUCCAAAGCCCAUUAAAAUCAAUGGGAAUCUUUCCACUGACUUCAGCAAGCUUUGAAUCAGGCCUUACAGCAC
rnacentral:pre_miRNA from 1 species